UCCUUAAGUCUGAUGUGAAAGCCCCCGGCUCAACCGGGGAGGGUCAUUGGAAACUGGGGAACUUGAGUGCAGAAGAGGAGAGUGGAAUUCCACGUGUAGCGGUGAAAUGCGUAGAGAUGUGGAGGAACACCAGUGGCGAAGGCGACUCUCUGGUCUGUAACUGACGCUGAGGAGCGAAAGCGUGGGGAGCGAACAGGAUUAGAUACCCUGGUAGUCCACGCCGUAAACGAUGAGUGCUAAGUGUUAGGGGGUUUCCGCCCCUUAGUGCUGCAGCUAACGCAUUAAGCACUCCGCCUGGGGAGUACGGUCGCAAGACUGAAACUCAAAGGAAUUGACGGGGGCCCGCACAAGCGGUGGAGCAUGUGGUUUAAUUCGAAGCAACGCGAAGAACCUUACCAGGUCUUGACAUCCUCUGACAAUCCUAGAGAUAGGACGUCCCCUUCGGGGGCAGAGUGACAGGUGGUGCAUGGUUGUCGUCAGCUCGUGUCGUGAGAUGUUGGGUUAAGUCCCGCAACGAGCGCAACCCUUGAUCUUAGUUGCCAGCAUUCAGUUGGGCACUCUAAGGUGACUGCCGGUGACAAACCGGAGGAAGGUGGGGAUGACGUCAAAUCAUCAUGCCCCUUAUGACCUGGGCUACACACGUGCUACAAUGGACAGAACAAAGGGCAGCGAAACCGCGAGGUUAAGCCAAUCCCACAAAUCUGUUCUCAGUUCGGAUCGCAGUCUGCAACUCGACUGCGUGAAGCUGGAAUCGCUAGUAAUCGCGGAUCAGCAUGCCGCGGUGAAUACG
rnacentral:rRNA from 1 species